AUUGAACGCUAGCGGGAUGCUUAACACAUGCAAGUCGAACGGCAGCGCGGACUUCGGUCUGGCGGCGAGUGGCGAACGGGUGAGUAAUGUAUCGGAACGUGCCCAGCAGCGGGGGAUAACUACGCGAAAGCGUAGCUAAUACCGCAUACGCCCUACGGGGGAAAGCAGGGGAUCGUUAGACAUUGCACGAUUGGAGGGGCCGAUAUCGGAUUAGCUAGUUGGUGAGGUAACGGCUCACCAAGGCGACGAUCCGUAGCUGGUUUGAGAGGACGACCAGCCACACUGGAACUGAGACACGGCCCAGACUCCUACGGGAGGCAGCAGUGGGGAAUUUUGGACAAUGGGGGCAACCCUGAUCCAGCCAUCCCGCGUGUGCGAUGAAGGCCUUCGGGUUGUAAAGCACUUUUGGCAGGAAAGAAACGUCGCGGGCUAAUACCCCGUGGAACUGACGGUACCUGCAGAAUAAGCACCGGCUAACUACGUG
rnacentral:rRNA from 1 species